rnacentral:rRNA from 2 species
CCCCUCCUGAAUUCAUAGGAAGGGUGGAGCGAACGGGGGGAAGUGAACCAUCUCAGUACCCCCAGGAAAAGAAAGCAACCGCGAUUCCCGUAGUAGCGGCGAGCGAAACGGGAACAGCCUAAACCGGUCGUGUGUCAAGCGUGCGAGCGUUGCUCGGUCGGUGUCGUGGGAUCGAUCGGACCCCUCGCACGGGGGUCGGGAAGUUACAAAUCAUGCUGCUAGCAGAAGGCUCUGGAAAGUGCCGCCAUAGAAGGUAAUAGCCCUGUAGGCGAAAGCGGUCAUGACUUCCUGGAUCGUGUUCCCAAGUACCACGGGACACGUGGAACCCUGUGGGAAUCUGCGAGGACCAUCUCGUAAGGCUAAAUACUCUCCAGCGACCGAUAGUGAACCAGUACCGUGAGGGAAAGGUGAAAAGAACCCCUGUUAGGGGAGUGAAAUAGUACCUGAAACCGUAUGUCUACAAGCAGUGGGAGGGCUAUGCUCUUCGGAGAAUGCCCGACCGCGUGCCUUUUGCAUAAUGAGCCGGCUAGUUACUCUCUGUAGCAAGGUUAAGCGAUAAGCGAGCCGCAGCGAAAGCGAGUCCUAAUAGGGCGUCCAGUUGCAGGGAGUAGACGCGAAUCCUGGUGAUCUACCCUUGGCCAGGGUGAAACGCAGGUAACACUGCGCGGAGGCCCGAACNNGAUGAGCUGAGGGUAGGGGUGAAAGGCUAAUCAAACCAGGUUAUAGCUCGUUCUCCCCGAAAUAGCUUUAGGGCUAGCCUCGGGAGUUUACAUGUGGCGGUAAAGUACUCGAUGGACUAGGGGCCUUAUUCGGUUACUGAAUCCAACGAAACUCUGAAUGCCAUUUGUCCAGAUUCCGGGAGUCAGACUGUGGGGGAUAAGCUUCAUCGUCGAGAG